rnacentral:rRNA from 1 species
UACGUAGGGGGCAAGCGUUAUCCGGAAUUACUGGGUGUAAAGGGUGUGUAGGUGGUAUGGCAAGUCAGAAGUGAAAACCCAGGGCUUAACUCUGGGACUGCUUUUGAAACUGUCAGACUGGAGUGCAGGAGAGGUAAGCGGAAUUCCUAGUGUAGCGGUGAAAUGCGUAGAUAUUAGGAGGAACAUCAGUGGCGAAGGCGGCUUACUGGACUGAAACUGACACUGAGGCACGAAAGCGUGGGGAGCAAACAGG